CCACUUGCGUUUCCGCUGAAGCGGUGGGGAAAAAAAAAUCCAAAACGGUUCGUUCGCACUAUCGUUCGAAUUUUGAAAGACUGGCGGAAAAAUAACAACACGAGAAAAAAAUUAACGGGUAGGCGCCCGUGGUUUACACAAUUCAUUCGAUGACAAUAAUAAUGUACAGGUACGAGUUUCAUGGUCGGCGCCAGAUUUUAUGACUCGGAGCACAAACAUUACGACGCAUAGAAGGUUACAACUAAUUAUAUAACAAAAUAUAGUCUCUUGAAAAAGAUCCGUUUCACUACGUGU